rnacentral:ncRNA from 1 species
UAAUUAUUGAGUUUGAUGAUGGCUCUGAUUGAACGCUGUCCAAGUACUUGACACAUGCUAAUCGUACGACUUUAUUUAUUUUUUAAGUAAAGUAGUGGUGUACAGGUGAGUAAAUGAUAAUUUGGCUACCUUAAAGUAAGAGUAAAUCUCUUAUAAAAAAAAGGAAAUCAAAAUUCUGCUUUAAGAUGUUAAUCUUUAUCUCG